rnacentral:rRNA from 1 species
UACGGAGGGGGCUAGCGUUGUUCGGAAUUACUGGGCGUAAAGCGCACGUAGGCGGACUGGAAAGUCAGAGGUGAAAUCCCAGAGCUCAACUCUGGAACUGCCUUUGAUACUGGGUAUCUUGAGUAUGGAAGAGGUGAGUGGAAUUCCGAGUGUAGAGGUGAAAUUCGUAGAUAUUCGGAGGAACACCAGUGGCGAAGGCGACAUACUGGCUCAUUACUGACGCUGAGGCUCGAAAGCGUGGGGAGCAAACAGG